rnacentral:rRNA from 1 species
GACGAACGCUGGCGGCGUGCUUAACACAUGCAAGUCGAACGGAAAGGCCCUGCUUUUGUUGGGUGCUCGAGUGGCGAACGGGUGAGUAACACGUGAGUAACCUGCCCUUGACUUUGGGAUAACUUCAGGAAACUGGGGCUCAUACCGGAUAGGAGCUCCUGCUGCAUGGUGGGGGUUGGAAAGUUUCGGCGGUUGGGGAUGGACUCGCGGCUUAUCAGCUUGUUGGUGGGGUAGUGGCUUACCAAGGCUUUGACGGGUAGCCGGCCUGAGAGGGUGACCGGCCACAUUGGGACUGAGAUACGGCCCAGACUCCUACGGGAGGCAGCAGUGGGGAAUAUUGCACAAUGGGCGGAAGCCUGAUGCAGCAACGCCGCGUGCGGGAUGACGGCCUUCGGGUUGAAAACCGCUUUCGCCUGUGACGAAGCGUGAGUGACGGUAAUGGGUAAAGAAGCACCGGCUAACUACGUG